AAAUGAUGCAAUUGGUCCCAUAUUUUUUGGAAUUAAAAUGAAAGAGUUAUGAAUUUUUGAAGUUAAAUGAAAUAAAAGAAAUAAAAUGGAAAUUAUAAAAAUCAGAAAAAAAACCACAGCGCUUGGAUGGAACCUCAUUAAUUGACGUGUCCAAUUUGAUGGUCAUGAAGCGCGCGCGUACCAAAGGCUCAAGUAAAACACGUCACACAAUGCAUUUAAAAAAGUCAUAACAAACAAAG
rnacentral:lncRNA from 1 species